GACGAACGCUGGCGGCGUGCCUAAUACAUGCAAGUAGAACGCACAGUUUAUACCGUAGCUUGCUACACCAUAAACUGUGAGUUGCGAACGGGUGAGUAACGCGUAGGUAACCUGCCUGGUAGCGGGGGAUAACUAUUGGAAACGAUAGCUAAUACCGCAUAAUAUUGAUUAUUGCAUGAUAAUUGAUUGAAAGAUCAUAUUGCAUCACUACCAGAUGGACCUGCGUUGUAUUAGCUAGUAGGUGAGGUAACGGCUCACCUAGGCGACGAUACAUAGCCGACCUGAGAGGGUGAUCGGCCACACUGGGACUGAGACACGGCCCAGACUCCUACGGGAGGCAGCAGUAGGGAAUCUUCGGCAAUGGACGAAAGUCUGACCGAGCAACGCCGCGUGAGUGAAGAAGGUUUUCGGAUCGUAAAGCUCUGUUGUAAGAGAAGAACGGGUGUGAGAGUGGAAAGUUCACACUGUGACGGUAUCUUACCAGAAAGGGACGGCUAACUACGUG
rnacentral:rRNA from 1 species